UACGGAGGGUGCAAGCGUUAUCCGGAUUCACUGGGUUUAAAGGGUGCGUAGGUGGGCAGGUAAGCCAGUGGUGAAAUCUCCGGGCUUAACCCGGAAACUGCCGUUGAUACUAUUUGUCUUGAAUGUCGUGGAGGUGAGCGGAAUAUGUCAUGUAGCGGUGAAAUGCUUAGAGAUGACAUAGAACACCGAUUGCGAAGGCAGCUCACUACGCGAAUAUUGACGCUGAGGCACGAAAGCGUGGGGAUCAAACAGG
rnacentral:rRNA from 1 species